AUCAAUAAUGCAAAUAGAACUUUGUAAAAUAAUUCUGUAUAUGAUACAUUUAGGGAGGCAGUAUCGGCCCCCGAGGCCGGAACUUUUCUCGGUGGAUUGAUUCGUUGCUCCUCUUGGUUUUAUCAGGGAUCAUCAACUAUACAUAUUUCCUAAACAUAUAUUUAACAUGAAUCAACAACCACUCCGUCUUUAGGAGGAGCUGAGCUAUCAACUUCCUUUUCUGUUUCCAUCGCCACGGCAACUUCCCGCCUCUUCUCCUCCUCUGAUUUCUCUACUUUCAGCUUCUGCAAUAACACUCAAGAAUUUGGAGAUGAAAGUUCAGAUAGAUAAUCUUGAUUGUGGGGAUCAAUUAGUUGUUGAUAGCCACCACAUUUUCACAAAAUUCCUUUAGAUAUCAAUGUGGGAAUAUAAUAAAGAUCAAGAUCUAGAAAACCAGGAGGAAAGAAUAAGAGAAAAUCAAAAUGCUCUUCAGAAUCAUGCAUUGCAAGAUUAUGUAAAUGUAAAAUAACCCACCUUGGUAGCCACAGAUGAGUCCUUAGUCACACGCAAAAUAACCGACCUUGGUAGCCACAGAUGAGUCCUUAGUCACGCGCGCAAACAUGUUCGCAUAGAACUUUGCAUCUCUCUUGUUGCUCUCAGCUUGAAGUUGUUUCAAUGAUUUCUGCAGCAACUUAACCUCCCUGAAGAGAGAAGCAUGUCAUCUCAAGUGGCAAAAGAAGUUUGGUCUGAAUAAAAAUCGCCAUUACCUGUUCUGGGGGUCAGCCUCAAUAGCUUUCUUGAUGUCCAAUUCAGCCAAGAUCAGAUCUGCAAUCUCCAUAUAGACUUGUGCUCUCCUGUAAAGGGCUUUUACAUUGUGACAAUCACAAUCUAAUACCAUUUGGAUUUGGAUGAAAUUAACCAAAAGAAUAUAUUAUAAAAUUGAGUGAAAACGGUAACCCUGGACAUCAUAAUCGCAAUAGACGAGAGAGAGAACAAUGGCGUGAUAUUAAAUUUGGGAGUUAGGGUUUCAAUAUUUGAUUGGACAAUCGAAACCGAUUCUAAUUAUGUUUUCUCCCAAAUUUGGAGGUUAAGUUUAUGGCAUCGCCCUCUACAAUUCUGCUAGUUUUAAUUUUUGUUUUAUCCUCUCGUUAACUGUUAUUUAAGAUAUUUAUUUGUUUGAGAGAGACAGAUAUUAAGUUGUUACAGUAAGCCAAAAUUAUUAAGAUUCUUUAUGUUAUUAGCCUUUAUUGUUAUUCAAGAACAUUUAGAAUGUUAUUAGCCUUUAUUGGUUUUUGCCUUUUCCAGUCUCUUGAUGACAGUUUCUUUGCAGAAACAGGAGCUAGUGAACAAUCUUCAGUUUUGGAUUGCCUUGGGUAAGAACCUAAUUACCUAAGACUAAAUGUUGGGUUGAUAGUGUCAUUGUCACAACACAACUAAGGCAAAGAGACUGGAGUUGUUAGCAGAGUGAAUUUAGAUAGAUACGGAUCAAGGACUGGUGGCAUGCAAACGAAGAAAAUAAAGAAAAAUUUUGUGGAAAAAUGUUUUUCAUUUUUCUUUUAAGCAAUGCAUUAUCAUUUUGGCUUCCAUUGAGAUGCCUGCAGUCCGCAUUCUGCAGCGAUAUCAUAAACGUGACUACGUGAGUCCAGGUUGCUGUGCCCUACACAACUGUUGCAAAUCAAGCAAUCAUUAUCACGUUACGUAUUGUCCCACUCAAAUUUGUUUAGGUGAGGUGAGACCAAAUCCUCUAGUUCGCUUUUCAUGGCAAUGAUAGAAGUUGCCAUUAAUGGUUAAACAUAUUACGUUGAAUGUCAAAUUGCGUAUGCCACAGAUUUCCUUGGAAAUACGCUGGCCAGUGGUUUCUGUAUUUGAGUUGUCUACGUUGCAUAUCAAUUUAUUUUUUACUACAAAACUCGAAUAGUUCAGCAGAACACGAACUUAAGACUAAGAUAAUGUUUGAAAUUAAAAUGAUACAACUGUUAUGAAAAAAUUAUAAAACAUAAGCUAAUAACAUGUAUUAAAUAUGAGUUUUAUAUGAUAAUUUUGACAAAAAUAAUAAAUUAUUUUAAUAUUUUGAUCACAUAAGUAACAAAUCAAAUUAAUUAAACUUUCAAACCACAACUAAAGAUUAUUAAACACUUUGAGUGAUUACUUUCCGGAUUAGAGUGAGAAUUCUAAAGAUUGGAAAUCUUGAGAAUGUGAGUGUGGAAAGAGAAUAGAGUGUUUAUUAAGACUAGAAUAAGAGUAUAGAUUAUCAAUUAUAAUCUCAAUAAUGUAUUUACUUUAUUUUGAAUUUGAGAAUAAAUUAUUUUAAAUUAUAAUUUUAACCUUAAAUAAAGAGUACAUAACUUUUAAUUAAAAAAUGAAUAAGAAAAUAUGUUUAUACAAUAACCUAUUUAUUUUACUAUUAAUUUUGAUUAUGCAAAGUAAUAAUAAUUAUUAAUAUUUUUCAUAAUGUAAAUUAAAAAUUUUUAUAAAUUUUAUUUUAAUUAUUUAAAACUAAAAAUUAUUGAUAAUAUUCGCCUGUAAGCUUUUUGAUUAGCUUAGAACAUUUUUGGAAAUCAAAUGAGUGGAAGUAAAAUUCCCACCUCUACACGGAAGUGGAAAUCGCAUUCCUCACUUUAAAAGUAAGGCCCGUGGAAUAAGUUUCUGCUCACACCUUUAAAUAAAUAUGUAAAUACUAAAAUAAAAAGACUCUGCACUCUCCAUUCUUGCUGCAUUAAGUAAACGCAAAAGUUACUUGAACUAUAACUAUCCAAUCUCCAUAUCAAUCAGGACCUAAAUUAAUGACUUGAUUAUGUCAAAGCCAAAAAUUUACUGGCGCAUGUCUUACCGUGAAUUUUAUACAUGGAAUCCAUUGAGUAUGAUCAAUGAUGCAUAUAGAACUUUGUAAAAUAAUUCUGUAUAUGAUACAUUUAGGGUGGCAAUAUCGGCCCCCCGAGGCCGGAACUUUUCUCGGUGGAUUGAUUCGUUGCUGCUCUUGGUUUUAUCAGGGAUCAUCAACUAUACAUAUUUUCUAAACAUAUAUUAACAUGAAUCAACAACCACUCCGUCUUUAGGAGGAGCUGAGCUAUCAACUUCCUUUUCUGUUUCCAUCGCCACGGCAACUUCCCGCCUCUUCUCCUCCUCUGAUUUCUCUACCUUCAGCUUCUGCAAUAACACUCAAGAAUUUGGAGAUGAAAGUUCAUAUAGAUAAUCUUGAUUGUGGGGAUCAAUUAGUUGUUGAUAGCCACCACAUUUUCACAAAAUUCCUUUAGAUAUCACUGUGGGAAUAUAAUAAAGAUCAAGAUCCAGAAAACCAGGAGGAAAAAGAAGAUAAAAUCAAGAUGCUCUUCAGAAUCAUGCAUUGCAAGAUGACGUAAAUGUAAAAUAACCCACCUUGGUAGCCACAGAUGAGUCCUUAGUCACACGUAGGGGUGGCAAUCAAACCCGGACCCGGAUCGGACCCGGAUUGAACCCGGAAAAUCCGGUCCGGGUUCAACCCGCACCGGCAUAGUUUUUAUCCAGAAUCCGGAUCAGUUUUUGACAACCCGCAUUUUUCCGGUCCGGAUCCGGUUUCAGGUGAACCCGCAAAUCCGGAACCCGGACCCGGAUAUUAUUUAUUUUAAUAUGAAUUUUGAUCCGUAAAUCCGUAAUUAUAAAUAGAAAAAUUAAAAAAAAAACGAAAACAAAAGUGAACCCUAGAAUCUAGAUCUCUCUCGUCUCGUUCCUCUAAUCCUCUCUCGAAAUUUCUCCUUCAACCUAAAAAAAAUUACUGUAAAUCUGUAAUUUCUCCUUUCAAUCUCUCAAGUCUCAUCCGUAAACCGUAAUUCGUUCCUCUCUCAAUCUCUCUCACCCGUGAGCCGUGACUCAUUGCUCAUCUCAGUCCUCCAUCGUCACUUAAUCUCUCUCACUCUCUCUGCAACUCUCCUGUAAUCUCUUCUUCAGAUCAGAUCAGAUCCUUCGCGUCGUGGCUUGUCAUCACCUUCACGGCGAGGCUUUGUUCGUUUCAUCACUCGUCUGAUCUCUCACUCUGUCGCGGCCAGCAAAAGGGGUUGAAAUCCACCUCAGUCUCGCUGCUCUGUUCUGUGUUCAUCAGCAUAUACUUUAGUUGCCGCUGUGAAUAUUUGUGAGUCUCGGCUUUUCUCUUUACAAUUUAUGCUCUAUUACACUUUGAUUUUCCCUCUUUGC
rnacentral:lncRNA from 1 species